rnacentral:lncRNA from 1 species
ACCCUGCCGCUGACAGCCUCUGGCCAAAGCCCUCGGCUCCCCCAGGGCCUGGACCACCGUCUCCCUUUGCCUGGGCCUGGCUGGCCCUCUCUUGAAACAGAGAGAAGAAAACAAAUCCAUUCCACGGGCUAGGGAAUGUCGGUGAAACAACCUGGCCACACCGCACUUCUUAGAAGCAAAUAUUCUAUGGGAGAAACAAUCACAAGGGGUAACUCUAGAGCCUCAAGCACUGAAGUCAUCAACUGAGUUGGUGACACUCCAAACCCCCUUGGGCUGGGGUGCAAGAGCUGACGGACGCAGCCUUGGCGGCCACCUUCUCCUUCAAGCUCCUUGGCCAGGUGGGAGCCGUCAGGUCCACAUGCACACCUCCAACACUUCCCAAGCGAUGGCCAGCGCUAAAGCAGAAGCAAUAGGAUGACAUCUGCUGGUGCGUCUGUAUCCAGGCCGGGCAUACGUGUGCUCUGGAGGUGCCCCUGAGGGAGGGGCCUCAGAGCAGCAGGGGGAAGAGUCUGGCUCCUGGAACACAUAGUGUUCCCUGCUUGGGGGAGACUUUCCUGCCCUCCUUCUUCCUCCUACGUCCUUGCUCUGUGGGCCAUUCCUUCUCUUCUAGCCUUACUGGAAACAACAUUCUUCCAACUGAAGAUGUAACUGAGGCCUGAAUUAUGGUAAAGGAAGAUUAUUACAACAGCCUUUAAAAUACUUGCCUAAGCUGAGCUCCUGAAGAAACUUGGACCUGUCUCCUUGACCACGCCUUUAGUACGUCUGCCGGCCCGAGAGUCCUCUUUUACAGUAAUGUUGACCAUAUUCCUAACUAAAGCAAGACCUGACCAGCUGCCAAAUAGUCCUCCCCCUCCCCCCAGUGGAAGAAAUGGCUACUGCUAUUCAACACUGAGAAUGCCAGAACAGCUCUGUGGGGCUCCACUGAAAACCUGCAGCAGGGAGGCUGAUGAUGGGAGCUGCUUAGAGAGCUUCCGAAUCUACUUCAGGUAAAUAUGGACCUGUAUGUAUCUCCUGCAGCACCCGCACCUGACAUCCAUGGCUCUGAGGCCCAGAAAGAGCUGAGGAGGUCAUAGAGAUCAUCAAUGCUCUGCUUGCUUUGAUGUACCAUUAAGAAGACGAUCUUUCCUCUAACAGCCCCAUACAACUGAGCAGCGCCACCACGUCAUACCGGUACCCUUUUCUUUACCCCUUAAAGAAUACCCAGGAAAGAAAGAUAACUAAAGGAAGUAAAGGACCAGAUCUUUUACCACCUUCCUGCGUGGGUGAUCCAUCCUCUUCCUCUAUAACAUCAUUUCCCUAGGACAGAAGGAAGGCCCUGUGAGUCUAUGAAGCGGCAAAAUGAGUAAACUGAUUGGCUGAAGACAGAACUAAUCAUCCUACUGGUAUCUAACUCCAGGGCCUACGUUAAUAGCAUAUAUUUCCAUCUGUGUUUAAUAUGCCUCAGAGGCUGAGUAGAGGCAGAUCUUGCUUGGAGAGGCACCAUCUGCCUACAGGGAUUAGAUCCGAGCCACAUUACCCAUAUAUGCUCAGAAUGGUCUGUCAGGAACACCCUUGUUAAUAGUUUAGCUGAUACUGUUUCUCUAAGGUGGAAGUAAAAAUUACUAAAUGAAAGAGCAAAUUGUGAGAUCAUAAGACUUUCAGAAAUCCCUUAAGAUCCCAAACCCCAUCCAGAUCCUCCAUUGACAGGAGUUGGCUCAAGAAGAGUUCUAGGGCUCUCACUGUGAGCUGGCGUUCCACAGCACACCAUGGUCAGGGCACGUCUCACACUGAACUGUGGUCCUGUCUGCCUGCUAGACUGGGCUCCUAGAUGGGUGCAGUGGGCUGGGGGUAGGCAGAAACCUCACCACACAGGUCUGUAUAGGUCUAUAUGUGCCCUAGCACCAGUAGAGCACCUGUGACACAGUCCUCCAUGUAAAUACUAGUGGAAUGAAGGACAAUAUAUUCUCAAGGCCAGGGGCUGGCCAGAAAAGUUCCCUCUUGAACUCACUCCACACCAGUGACCCUGGGAACCAGUGGCCCCACUCACUGGACAGUCCACAGGCCCGGGAGCAGCUGCUCUCAUCUCUACCCACAUUCCACUUCUCACUGAUCUAGGCAUGUCCCCUAGGAAGGCUUCGUCAGCGCAGCCUCCUGGCCCUGGUCCUUACUGGCAUCCCCAGCCAAGGCCAGCACUCCUCUGGUUGUGGGAAGGGGGCACCACUCCGUGCUGUUGGGGUUACCUCUGCAUCCUGCUCUCCAGCUGGGAGGCCAGCAAAGUUGCUGUCUGGAGACUCCGCUGGCAGCCCCUGCAGAAGAGCACAGUUUUUACAGGCUCUUCCAUAAAGGUCUCGUGACAGCAAACCCAAACCUUCUUCAGAACAAAAUUGGUGUCAAAUAGGAGGGUCAGACCUAAGGGAAUGCCUUGUUUUCUGCAGCACUCCUGGCAUUUUGGGGGCUUUGCAGCCAUGCAUGGCAGACCUUUGGUUAUGCUACUUUGGACAUGUGCACAAAGAACAGAGAAGCCAGGGCGGUUCCCGUCCCUUCCCUUACCUCUCCUUCUUCUGAGGGGGCCCUGCUGGCAGGCUGGGGGGAAGAGAGAGCCUCUCCCUCCUCUUCAGUGCCAGGGGCGAUGUAGGAGCCAGACAUGGAGGAGACGGUGUCAGUGCUGAUCUGGGAGGAUGCCAUGGACAUGACAGACUGGGCCAAGCUGCUGCUGGCAGGGCCUUUGGAGACAGGGGAUGGGGAAAGGAGCCUGGAGGUCAGGCAGGGCUUCUGCAAGCUUUCUGGGGAGCAGAGCCCUCUCCCUGCAUUCAGGCAUUGAGGAGUGAAGUGGCCGUAUCUUGCCCUCCCCUAAAAGUGGUUUUAGGUUUAUGGUUUUCCAAAAUUCUGCUCCUUUAUAUUUUAGAGCUCAGAACUCAGCCUUGGGGACAAGACAUUUGCUUUUCCCUGUCAUAAUGCUAAAGGAAACCUCAUUACAGGAGGACUGGGGCUGAGAGAAUUAACACCCCACUAGCUACAGGCAAGCCUGCUAUCCCAUGGUAGGAAAGCAAGUCCUCUUCCCUCUCAAGCCAGGGCCUACUUGUCAUGCAGUACAGGUAUUAGCUUGCCACUCCCAUGUCCCUUCCCGGAAGAAGCACCAGGACACUGUGGGCUGGGUAAGGGGGAAGGACAUGCAGCCACUCCCCGCUCCUUAUGUACCUUCUGGGGAGGAAAUAGUGGAUGACAGAGGCGUCCCUGUGCAAGACGACUGGUCAAUAGCUCCAGAUGACGACAAGGUGAGAUUCUCACUUUCUGGAGUCACACCACAUUCCUGGGGGUUGUGGGGGGACACAACAGGACAUGGAGCAAGCGCCAGUCACCUGUGCUGGAGGAAGGGGUCAGGGCGGAGGUCUGGGUAGAGAUGAGGAGGAAAGGCGACACUGGGAGGGACUGAGUGGCAUGCAGAGGCCGCAGCUUCUCUCUUCCGUCCUCACUUCAGCCCAAGCCUGGAAUGACUGCCUCCCAGGGGAGGCGCACACUUCAGUCAACACCUCCUGCCCAGGGCACAGCAUCUGCUGCGGCCAUACAAAGACUGCAGCUCGGGUGACACAGGUCACCCUGCAGCUGUGACAUGGGGACACCCCAGGUUUCCCCAGGAUUAUGAUCAGCUUUCCUUCUGCGGCAAAAGCAUACAAAGCCAGCAGAGGACUUCCUGCCUGCAGGGUAUCUCCACGUGGACCCCAGUUAAUUCCUGCCCAGCUGCUUUCUGAUACAAACACCACCUUGCUCCCCAGCCUGCUGCUCCUCCCACACCCCCACCUCCGAUCCCAGCCCCGACCUGUCAGGCAUCUGGGUGCACAGCCUCACCCGUCCAAGAUGGAUGCAAAGUUCUACGAACUGUAUCUCCAUAAUCCCUUCCCUUCCCUCCAGGCGCUCCUCUUUUGUCUUAGUUCACGCAGUCCUUCUUUUUUUUUUCACUUUUUUUUUUUGAGAUGGAGUCUCGCUCUGUUGCCCAGCCCAGGCUGGAGUGCAGUGGUGCGGUCUUGGCUCACUGCAACCCCUGCCUCCUGGGUUCAAGCGAUUCUCCUGCCUCAGCCUCCCGAGUAGCUGGGACUACAGGUGCAUGCCACCACACCUGGCUAAUUUUUUGUAUUUUUAGUAGAGACGGGGUUUCACCAUGUUAGCCAGGAUGGUCUCGAUCUCCUGACCUCGUGAUCCGCCCGCCUCGGCCUCCCAAAGUGCCGGGAUUCCAGGCGUGAGCCUCCGCGCCCGGCCAGUCACACAGUCCUUCUUGCCUGGGCUACUGAAACCCUCUCCUGGCUGGGUCUGUCUCCCGUCUAGUCCAGGCUGCACACUGCGGUCGGGUGGGCCUUUGGGGUGUGAAGCACUCACUGUGCCCCUGGCUUGCUCCGAGCCCCGACUUCCUGCUCUGUGCCUUUGCAUGCAUCGUCUUCUCCACAUGGAUGUUUCUCUCACCUCUUUCUCCAUGUCUAAAAAACUUCCAGGUUUAGCUAAAAUGCUAUUCCUCCAUAACACAUUUUCUGAUUUCCUCCACUUACAAUGAUCUUUUCCAUCUCUGACACAGCAAUUUAUCGUCUCUGUUUUGGGCAUACUUCUUUUUUAUAAAAUUUACUUAGUCAUUGAACAAAUACUUACUGAGCAACAACAACGUGCCAGGCACAUGCUAUUCCCAUGUAUAUGUCCUGUCCCAGCCAGACCUGAGCACCUAAGGGCAGGGACCACUUUAUUUACCUUCCUGUGCCCUGCUGUAUCUAGCUCAGUGCCCUACAGAGAGAAGCUGCAUAAACCUUUGUUAAGUGAGGUCUCUGUGGGACGCACAGAGUAGAAAAUUCCAGCCUUCUCUUCCAUUCUUCCACAUGGGCCUCCCGACACCCCCCACUUACCCCCAGGACUUUCUCCUUGCUGUUCCCAGACCUAGGGCCCUCUCUCCUCGUAUAUCUGCAUAGCUAGCUCUACCACUUCCCUUGGUCUUGGCUCCUGGACCGCUUUUUAAGAAUGGCAGCCCCCACUUCCAGCCGUGACACUCCCUUCCCACAUGUCACACAUGCUGAUCCACAGCACCAUCAGGCACACAUGUAUUUUUUUACCUAUUGUCUUUUGUGCCCCCCACCCCAGAUAGCAAGAAUAUAAAUGCUACAAGGGCAGGGACUUUUGUAGUGUCCCAGCUACUAUCCUCAGCAUAUAGCACAGUGCCUGGCAAAUAAUACAGGCUGCAUACACUGUUGAAUGCAUGAAUCCAGUGAAACCUUUGCCACUGCCUCAGAGGGUGCUGACAAGGUGUUUGAUGAGUGAAUGAGAGCAGAGGGACCUGAUGAGGCAUGCAGGUAGGAGGGAAGUCCCUGGAGUACAACACCCAAGAAGAGGAGAGGAAUGUCAAUUACCUCUCCGAGAUGCUGAACCGACGGUCUCUGAGAGAGCUGUGUCUCCGACUCGCUGCAGGAAUGCUCAUCUUCCUCUUCAUGCAGCACGGAAGAGUUUUGGGAAGUGGAUCUGUAGGAGUCCAGUGGAAAAGCAGCUAUA